rnacentral:rRNA from 1 species
AGUGAACGCUGGCGGUAGGCCUAACACAUGCAAGUCGAACGGCAGCACAGUAAGAGCUUGCUCUUACGGGUGGCGAGUGGCGGACGGGUGAGGAAUACAUCGGAAUCUACUUUUUCGUGGGGGAUAACGUAGGGAAACUUACGCUAAUACCGCAUACGACCUACGGGUGAAAGCAGGGGAUCUUCGGACCUUGCGCGAUUGAAUGAGCCGAUGUCGGAUUAGCUAGUUGGCGGGGUAAAGGCCCACCAAGGCGACGAUCCGUAGCUGGUCUGAGAGGAUGAUCAGCCACACUGGAACUGAGACACGGUCCAGACUCCUACGGGAGGCAGCAGUGGGGAAUAUUGGACAAUGGGCGCAAGCCUGAUCCAGCCAUACCGCGUGGGGGAAGAAGGCCGUCGGGUUGUAAAGCCCUUUUGUUGGGAAAGAAAAGCAGCAGGUUAAUACCCCGCUGUUCUGACGGUACCCAAAGAAUAAGCACCGGCUAACUUCGUGC